UAGGGAAUAUUGGUCAAUGGAUGCAAGUCUGAACCAGCCAUGCCGCGUGCAGGAAGAAGGCCUUCUGGGUUGUAAACUGCUUUUGCCGGGGGAUAAAAUUCCCAUGCGUGGGAAAUUGAAGGUACCCGGUGAAUAAGCCACGGCUAACUACGUGCCAGCAGCCGCGGUAAUACGUAGGUGGCAAGCGUUGUCCGGAUUUAUUGGGUUUAAAGGGUGCGUAGGCGGCCUAUUAAGUCAGUGCUGAAAUAUCCCGGCUUAACCGGGAGGGUGGCAUUGAUACUGAUGGGCUUGAGUGGAAUCGAGGUAGGCGGAAUUGACGGUGUAGCGGUGAAAUGCUUAGAUAUCGUCAAGAACACCGAUAGUGUAGACAGCUUACUAGACUUCAACUGACGCUGAGGCACGAAAGUGUGGGGAUCAAACAGGAUUAGAUACCCUGGUAGUCCACACUGUAAACGUUGAUUACUCGCUGUGUGCGAUAUACAGUACGCGGCUUAGCGAAAGCGAUAAG
rnacentral:rRNA from 1 species